GGCCGACAGCACGGGAGCCCCGCACGGGGCUGAGAGGGCGUCGCCGCCGACCGUCGAACCUGAUCUGGGUCAUGCCAGCGAAGGGAGCGCACAUGAGCCUGUC
rnacentral:ncRNA from 2 species